rnacentral:rRNA from 1 species
AGUGAACGCUGGCGGCAGGCCUAACACAUGCAAGUCGAACGGCAGCACAAGAGUGCUUGCUCUCUGGGUGGCGAGUGGCGGACGGGUGAGGAAUGCAUCGGAAUCUGCCCAUUUGUGGGGGAUAACCUCGGGAAACCGGGACUAAUACCGCAUACGACUUACGGGUGAAAGCAGGGGAUCUUCGGACCUUGCGCAGAUGGAUGAGCCGAGGCCGGAUUAGCUAGUUGGGGGGGUAAAGGCCCACCAAGGCGACGAUCAGCAGCUGGUCUGAGAGGAUAUUCAGCCACACUGGGACUGAGACACGGCCCAGACUCCUACGGGAGGCAGCAGUGGGGAAGAUUGGACAAUGGGCGCAAGCCUGGUCCAGCCAUGCCGCGUGUGUGAAGAAGGCCUUCGGGUUGUAAAGCACUUUUGUUGGGAAAGAAAAGCAGCCGGUUAAUACCCGGUUGUCAUGACGGUACCCAAAGAAUAAGCACCGGCUAACUUCGUG